CUUCAUCAUUGUUGUUCAAGCAGUAAAAUUCAGUACUUCGAGUUUGACAUGAAACGGUGGACUGUGAUACCAUAUCACUAGCUGUAGCGGAGUCGCAUGGCUCUGGAUCUUCGUGAGGAUUAAUUGUUUUACCUUUCGUGAUCGUUCGUUUUCUUGAUGGUGAAAGAUUUAGAUCGUUUGUAGAACUAAAAGAACUAAAAUUUCGCGACAUCUCCAUUUGGCCGCCAUUUGUAAUUAGUUCGGGAUCAUCCCACUGAG